UUGGUCGUUACGUUAAUUAUUAACUGUAAGUACCCUAACAGCAAAACCAUUCAUAUGUCGACUGUAAGUCGACUUUUCUAAGUCAGGCUUUCAGAGUUGACUGCAAGUCGACUUUGCAUAGACGUCUGCAGACGUUUUUCAAAAGUUGACUUUAAGACGUCUAGAAAAAGACAUUUUGAAAUCGACUCGACUGAGCGCCACUGUAGUGAGCGAGCACCGCUGUCACCGCUGCUGCAUGUAGCGCCAAGCGAGAGUCAUCAAGUUUCUUGCAAGAGUCAAUCCGCGUUGUUGUAAUCCUACCUGUCUGUCGGGUCUUGUGCUUAUUGAAUAAAGACUAUUAGCUGCAGCCGUUCGGACAUACAAAAUUCUCUUGUACUCUCCGCUAUUUUUUAUUAUCCAUCGGAGCGUGUGCAGCCAUACCGGUCAUGUGCGGCGAUUGCCAUUGUGAGCCGUUGUUGAGGGACAGACGAGUCGUGAAGUAAGACUAUAUUUUGAGAUCAGUGGUGCCGAAGCAGUUAAAAACACUGGAGAUAUGUGUAUCGAGAUUUCUCUGCCAAAGCAUUUCCAAUCCGUGGUAUUUAUGUCAGUGUCGAGGUUGAGUGGCACGAAAACUGGCAGAGUCAUAAAGAACUUUACGUGACGGAGAAAAGAAGCUACAACUGAACAUAUUUACUACAAAAAAGAACACAAGGAAUGUACUAGCAAUCAAGAUAAACAAAUUAUCCCUCAAUAUCUUGAGUAAAACAAAGUGACAUUCUUUAUCCACUAGAGAUUCGAGUUGCAGAAUGCAAAAUAAAAAAGAAUAUUUUAUCUUUGCAGCAUCUACAACAAAGGAUCCAUUUCUUAAAAAGUUAGCUAAGUUCUAUAAUUUAUAUAGAAAGAACAUUUUACAUUGACAUUGUAUAAAUUUAGAAUCUAUACAUGUAUACAGGAUAUUUAACGAGAGGUGAGAAAUAAAGAUUUUUUUUCCUAUGUGACGUCCAUUAAUAAAAUAUAGUUAAAAGUUUUUAUUAUUAUUUUUAUUAUUAUUUUUCUUAACAAAUGCAUCUGUAUACAAUAGUAAUAUUAGAGAUAAUUUUGUAUACAUUAAGUUAUUGUGAUAUACAUAUACACACACAAAGUUAAACAAAUGCGCACAAUACAUAUACACAGAUAUACACAUUUAUAUUUGCUUUACAUAUUAUAACAAUUUUUUUUUUUUUUUUUUAAAUAAAACGAAUCAAACAAGUAAAAAAUGUUAUAACAUAUUUUCCCAAUUUCAAUAUUCCUUCCUUUACAACUGCAUAGAAUGUCUGUAGGAUGGCUAACUAUAGUCGACUUAUAGUUGUCUUCAAAUGUAUGACUUAAAGACGUCUCUAAAAGUCGACUUAUAGUUGUCGAUUAAAGUGGGACAUUGUAUGACUAAUAGACGUCUUUAAGUCGUCUAAAGUCGAUUUAUGGACGUCCAUUUUCCAGACGUCUAGCAGUUAUGGCCGACUCAUAAUCGACUUAAAGUCGACUUUGUGCUGUUAGGAAGUAGAGAGCACACAAGGAUGAGACAUUGGAAGCCUUUGCAAGAAGGUGAUAUACUCAAUGUUAAUAUAACAGUAAUGUAAUAGAAGAGACAACAAAUAAACACAAUUUGAAUGUAAUACCUGCACUUUUGGGUCGUGGUAUCGGAACUUACUUUCAUGGUGCUCCAGACAUUUAUCACUUCGGUACAGUGAAAAUAUUUUGUUACUAUCAAUAUUAACGCGCAUUGGCAUAUGACUAAUAGAAAUUAUCUAAUUCCAAUUUAUAGAUCAAAUAUAUCUUGCUUUUAAAAUAAAUUUCUACAUAACUGUAAA